GUAUUCCACGGCAUCAAUAAAGAUUAAAACUGUUAGCGUGGCAAUCGCAAAAAUGCUAAACCCUUUUCCUGGAGUAGUUUCCCUAGUUUUCGUAGUGGCCAGGGCCAGGCACUAUAUUUUUGUACUCUUGUCUUCUCUAGUCUUUCAUUUCUGUUUUCAUACAUACUUUUAAAUUAGUACUUAAUUUUAAAUUUAGUUCCCCGUUGUAACACGUUAUCCAUUUUUAGUUCUUACAUUUUGACGUUAACAACUACGUUUAUUUUCAAGUUAGUAUGUGGUGUAUUCCACUGUUCUCAAAUUUUAAUUUACACUUUUAAUUUUAAGUCCAGUAGUUUUCGCAUACAACCCUGUCAGUCAGUGUGACUUCUACUACUAUAUUAGCCUAGGACUAUGACAGCUCCGUUCAUACAAAUAUAAUUUAUAUAAAAAAGAACGCUUGAUGUUUAAGCUCUUAAAGAUUCACAACAUAUUUACCACAAACUCGUGUCGUACUAGUUCACAAGGCAAAUAUCACACAUUUCAGUUUGCGGUGACACAGUCGUGAGACGCGCACGCGCCACGUGCGUGUUCGUCUUUAAAUUAACCGUUGGUUUAAUUGUGCCCUCGCCCGCGAGCCGCGGCGGCGCGCAAUAUCGCGCGCAGCUUUCCUGCUUCUUUGUUGGACCGACAGCGCCGUUCGCGAAUUUGUCUGUCACACUCCCGACUACACCUCAUGGGUACUGCAGUUGGAAGUGGGAUUUAAAUCUGCACCCUCUGGAUCCCAGGGCAGCAGCUCUAACUACAACACUACGAGCUACCUGUAUGUUUCAAAGUUGCCCAGGAUGCUGCCCACAUGAGCGAGGUUCUCCUCCAUCUCAUCCUCCCGUGCGUCAUUCGUCACCCUGCGACAG